rnacentral:pre_miRNA from 1 species
AACAUACUCCCUCCGUCCGGAAAUACUUGUCAUCAAAAUGAAUAAAAGGGGAUGUAUCUAGAUGUAUUUUAGUUCUAGAUACAUCCCUUUUUGUCCAUUUUGAUGACAAGUAUUUUCGGACGGAGGGAGUACUAA